rnacentral:rRNA from 1 species
UGCAAUCUACCUUUUACAGGGGGAUAGCCCAGAGAAAUUUGGAUUAAUACCCCAUAGUAUAUAUGAAUGGCAUCAUUUAUAUAUUAAAGUCACAACGGUAAAAGAUGAGCAUGCGUCCCAUUAGCUAGAUGGUAAGGUAACGGCUUACCAUGGCAACGAUGGGUAGGGGUCCUGAGAGGGAGAUCC